rnacentral:rRNA from 1 species
GACGAACGCUGGCGGCGUGCUUAACACAUGCAAGUCGAACGGAAAGGCCCUGCUGUUGUGGGGUGCUCGAGUGGCGAACGGGUGAGUAACACGUGAGUAACCGGCCCUUGACUUUGGGAUAACUUCAGGAAACUGGGGCUAAUACCGGAUAGGAGCUCCUGCUGCAUGGUGGGGGUUGGAACGUUUCGGCGGUUGGGCAUGGACUCGCGGCUUAUCAGCUUGUUGGUGGGGUAGUGGCGUACCAAGGCUUUGACGGGUAGCCGGCCUGAAAGGGUGACCGGCCCCAUUGGGACUGAGAUACCGCCCCGACUCCUACGGGAGGCAGCAGUGGGGAAUAUUGCACAAUGGGCGGAAGCCUGAUGCAGCAACGCCGCGUGCGGGAUGACGGCCUUCGGGUUGUAAACCGCUUUCGCCUGUGACGAAGCGUGAGUGACGGUAAUGGGUAAAGAAGCACCGGCUAACUACGUG